rnacentral:lncRNA from 1 species
CCCAGGAUAUCUAGUGAGAUUGUCACCUUAUCCGUUUUUCUUUUUCUCCGUUACCAAGUUGAACAUAAUCACAUAAAUAAUAAACAUGCACUCAGUAAUACAAUCAUAUCUUAAAUUCUAAAAUCACACAAUGGUCAAGUAAGACAGUAACACAUGUAUUUAAAACCAUAAAAUAGAUAGACCAGAUAGCAUAAUACAUUUAAACUGUAAAAUAAAUCAAGCAGGAAUCGACAGAGAAUAAUGUCC